rnacentral:tRNA from 1 species
GUUUUAAUAAUUUAAAAAAAAUGCUGGUCUUGUAAACCAAUAAUGAAAAGAUUUUUCUUAAAACU